CAGCCGCCGCGGUAAAACCAGCACCUCAAGUGGUCAGGAUGAUUAUUGGGCCUAAAGCAUCCGUAGCCGGCUCUGUAAGUUUUCGGUUAAAUCUGUACGCUCAACAUACAGGCUGCCGGGAAUACUGCAGAGCUAGGGAGUGGGAGAGGUAGACGGUACUCGGUAGGAAGGGGUAAAAUCCUUUGAUCUAUUGAUGACCACCUGUGGCGAAGGCGGUCUACCAGAACACGUCCGACGGUGAGGGAUGAAAGCUGGGGGAGCAAACCGGAUUAGAUACCCGGGUAGUCCCAGCUGUAAACUAUGCAAACUCAGUGAUGCAUUGGCUUGUGGCCAAUGCAGUGCUGCAGGGAAGCCGUUAAGUUUGCCGCCUGGGAAGUACGUACGCAAGUAUGAAACUUAAAGGAAUUGGCGGGGGAGCAC
rnacentral:rRNA from 2 species